CCAGCAGCCGCGGUAAUACGUAGGAGGCGAGCGUUAUCCGGAUUCACUGGGCGUAAAGCGUGCGUAGACGGUUAUGUAAGUCGGGUGUGAAAGCCCCGGGCUCAACCUGGGAAUUGCAUUCGAGACUGCAUAGCUAGGGUGCGGAAGAGGGAAGCGGAAUUUCCGGUGUAGCGGUGAAAUGCGUAGAUAUCGGAAGGAACACCAGUGGCGAAAGCGGCUUCCUGGUCCAGCAUCGACGUUCAGGCACGAAAGCGUGGGGAGCAAACAGGAUUAGAUACCCUGGUA
rnacentral:rRNA from 1 species